rnacentral:lncRNA from 1 species
AUGUCUAAGGGAGCCACCAUUUAAUUUUUAUGGGGGGCUAGGAUGAAAUUUGAAAAAAAUAGGCAGGACAGGAGUUUUGAGUAAAAUAAAAGGCAGGAUGAGACACUUGCAAAAACAAAAAGUCAGGACGACAAUUUAGGUAAAAAAAAGUCAGGAUAAACUAAAAAAAAAAAGGCAGGACCGAACAGAGUGAAAAUAAAAAGGCAGGACA